rnacentral:rRNA from 1 species
ACUUUGUAAUAUAUUUAUAUUAUUUUCCUUUAUUCUUCAUAGUUUUUUAUUUUUUAGUAUUUUUUAGAAAUAAUUAAUAGUUUGAUUAUAUUACUGAAUAGGAUAUUUUUAAAGUAUUUAAAAAAAUUAUUAGUACCUUUUGUAUCAGGGUGAAUUUAUUUAAUAAAAUAUUUUAUAUUCUCGAAUUAAAAAGGGUAAUGCUUAUUUUAGUUAAAUUGUUUCAUUAAUUUUUUUAAAUUUGGUAUAGUAAUUAUAUGUUAUUCGUUUUUUAUAUUUCUAGUUACUAAAGAUUUAAUUUAAUUAUACAUUUAUUUUGAUUCAAUCAUAAUUUUAUGUUAGGUGUUAUAAUAUUAAGGAUAAUCUUAAUAUUUUAUUACAAUAAUUAUAUAUAAAUUAUAUUUAUUUACUUUAAAAUUUUGUAUUCAGUUUUUACUAAAUUAAUAUUAAUUUAAUAGAAUUUUAUAUUAUUUAUUUUAAUAUUUAGUUAUUUUAUAUAAUUUUUAUUUAUUAUCAAUAAUGAUUUAAUUAGUAUAAUUAUUUUUUUAAUUAAAAUGAACUCGACAAAUAUUAUUUCCAACUGUUUAUCAAAAACAUUUCUUUACGUUUUUUUAUUUAAAGUAUGUCCUGCCCUAUGGUUCUACUAAAUGGCUGCAGUAUAUUGACUGUACAAAGGUAGCAUAAUCAUUAGUUUCCUAAUUAGAAGCUGGUAUGAAUGGAUUAAUGAGAUAUAUAUUUUAUUUAAUUUAUAGUUAUAAUUUUGAAUUUAAGUCAAAAUACUUAAAUAUUUUUUAGGGACGAUAAGACCCUGUAGAAUUUUAUAUAAUUUUUUUAAAUCAAUUUUAUUUAGAUAUUUUUGUUUAAAAAAUCAUAUUUUGCUGGGGUGGUAGUUAAAUUAUUAACUUUAAUUAUAUAUUUCAUUUAUUUAUGUAAAUUUUGAUCUUUUUAAGAACUGAAGAAUUAAUUACCUCAGGGAUAACAGCGUAAUUUUAAUGGGGAGUUCAUAUCUAUAUUAAGGUUUGCGACCUCGAUGUUGAAUUAAGAUAAAUAUUAGAAGCAGUCUUCUAUUAGUUAAGUCUGUUCGACUUUUAAAUUCUUACAUGAUUUGAGUUCAAACCGGCGUGAGCCAGGUUGGUUUCUAUCUUAAAAAAAUUAUAUUUACUUAGUACGAAAGGACCAGUAAGUUAUACUCUAUGGUAUGAUGAUAA